rnacentral:sRNA from 1 species
GUUGGGUGCAGUGGGGCACACCUGUAAUCCAAGUAGCUAGGGAGGCUGAGGCAGGUGGAUCAAGAGUUCAGCAAAAGCGAGGCACUUAGCAACUCAGUGAGACCCUGUCUCUA